CGUGUGUGUGUAGGAAGAUAAACUCUUUUUUUCUUCUUGGCAGGUGUCCUUGUAGACUUGGGUCUGGAGGAAAAUGGGACAGCUCAUCAGAGAGCAGAGAAAUACGUGGUUCGUCUGGACAAUGAGAUUCAAAGCAAGUUUGAAGUGUUUAUGAGGAGGGUGAAACAGAACCCAUACACACUAUUUGUGCUAGUUCAUGACAACUCCCACGUGGAACUAACGAGGUGAUUGCUUUCGUGUGAGCAAACACAGUAUUUCUUCUAUAGCAGUCAUUGUUACACCAGGAAAUCUUUUAAAGGUGACAGUGUGAAGCCCCAGGGAUCCUAACAUUUAGUGUCUUCCUCCUGCUAACUUAUUCAUAAUCUUUUCUUGCUCCCUCAACUCUUCGUGUGAUUUAGUGUUGAUUUCAUUUUAAAUAUACUGUGAAGGAAUUUAGAAAUUUAUGUUAGAAGUACUGUCGUAAGAAUAUCAUGGGGGCUGGGGCUGGGGCUCAGUGGCAGAGCACUUGCCUAGCAUGUGUGAUGCACUGGGUUCGAUCCUCAGCACUACACAUAAAUAAAUAAAAUAAAGGUCCAUCCAUAACUUUAAAAAAAUUGUUUAAAAAAAGAAUCUUGGAACUCAGUUGCUUCAGAGAGGGCGGGGAGAAGGAGGUCAAGGAAAUAAGCUCCCAGGAGAGAGAUGAGCUUCCUUCUCUAGCUCUUCCCUAAGCUCUUACCCUUUUUCAUUUACUGCUCUUCCAGUGUUUCCUCCUCUUCCUUCUUUUUCUCUCUUCCCUCUUACCUUUAAAAGUAGUGUGGAAAUGCCACUUAAAUGUUCUGAGAGCAGAUCUGAAACCUUCCCAUUUCCCAAUUUAAGAGGAUAUCGUAUUUCUUGAUUGGACGUAUUAAUGAAAGAACAUUAUGUUUGGAAUGAUAGAAGCAGUUUUGCCCCCAGAUCAAAUUGUAAUUAUCUGGUGAGGUAUGCACUAAAAAGGCAAAUCAUUUUUUAAAAAGAGAGGGAAAAAAAGAAAUAAAAAAUAAAUAAAAAUUAAAAGAGAGGGACACACGUAAGGCACUGGGUUCGAUCCCCAGCACCACAUAAAAAAACUAAAUAAACAAAAUAAAGGUAUUGUGUCCAUCUACAACUACAAAUAUUAAAAUAUAUAUAUAUAUAUAUAUAUAUAUAUAUAUAUAUAUAGAGAGAGAGAGAGAGAGAGAGAGAGAGAGAGAGAGACAAAUAGUCAUCGAGUAUGACAUAUCAUGGUUUGCCCUCACCAUGGAAGGACAGGGUGGUUUCAGUCAUCAUUGAACAUUUUAUCAAUCUUCUUUUCUCCAGGAGAAACUGAGGUUAGGAAUCUGGAAGUUCUUUGGUUUAUGGUAAAAAAUGUCAGAAUUAAAAAAAAAAAAAAAAAUCUUGUUCAGAAGCCAGAAUGGGUUUGAUAGGCUGCAAUAUGAAGUCUAGAACCAUGUGUGUGUAUAAAUAAGACCUUACAUUAAUCUGUUAGAUUUAGGAGAAGGAAAAAAGGAAGAGAAGGAGAGGGGAAAGGAGGGAAAAGAAAUUUUACACACAUCUCUUUAGUCAUUGGUAAUGUUCUGUGAGGAGAAAUAGCUCACUAACCUCACACACCUUGUCUUUCAAAGUUUAGGGAAUAUUUUUGAGGACACAACAUUAGAUCUCUCUGUAUUUAACUCCCUGGGUCAUCAAGAUUAUUUCUUUAAUUUAAAAAGUAUGUUUUUUUGCCAGGUACAGUGGCACACACCUGUAAUCUUUAGCUACUCGGGAGGCUAAAGCAGGAGGAUUACAAGUUUGAGGCCAGCUUCUGCAAUUGGGUGAGACCCUGUCUCAAAAUAAAAAAAUAAAAAUAAAAAGGGCUGGAGAUGUAGCUCAGUGGUAAAGUGCAUUAGUCAUUUGGGGAUGUAGGGGACAUUGUGACCAAAAAAAAAAAAAAAACCCUGAGAAAAAAAUAACUAGGAGAAGGAAAGAUUUAUUUUAGCUCAUGGUUUCAGAGAUUUCAGUUGGUGGUUAGCUUGAGGUGAAGGCAGAGCAUCAUGGCAGGAGGGUAAGGCAGAAGAAAGCUGUUCAGCUUGUGGAAGCCAGGAAACAGAGAGAGCGGAAGAAAGGGGACAAGGAUAAGAUAUAAUCCCCAAGGACACACCUCCAGAGACCUGCUUUCUCAACCCAUGCCCCACCUGCCUCCAUUUCCACUACCUCCCAUAGUCCACUUAACUAUCAAUGGAUCAUUCCACUGAUGAUGUCAGAGCCCUCAUGAUCCAAUCACUUCCCAAAAGCUCCACCUCUGAACAUUGCCACAUUGGGGACCAAGCCUUCAAUAAGUGAAAUCUUUGGAGGACAGCACCCUUGGAUUCAAUCCCAGGUAACACAAAAUUUACAUAUACAUAUGCACGUAUCUGAGGAUGCAUGGGAACCUGGUAAAUACAAAUUGAACAGAACUGAAAGAGCUUCAGAGAUACGAGUCUUGGUCACAAGUUGUAAAAGGACAGUUCUCCCCAGAUGGCCUGCCAGUCUGGAAUCCAUGGCAGGAAUAGGAGUGAUUUUGAUACAGAGGAGCUCUGGCUGCAGGGCUCUAAGCAUUGUGUCCUGGUGAAGAGGCUCCCUCAUUCAGGUGAGCUUUCAAAGUCAAGUGCUCUGUCUCAACUACAGCUGUAGCCAUCCCUGGCCUGGAACACUUUGAGGUGUAUCAGGGGCAAACUGAAAAAAAAAAAUCACUAAAAUCUGUGUGCAAAGGGGUAAGAAGUGUAAAAUUUUCCUCUUUCAAAUCACAUUUCAAUUGAAUCUAUUCCCCCCAAUUUAAAAGAACUAGAAAAGUAAGAACUAAAACAUUAUUUCCAUGUUGGUGUCUGCUUCUGUAUUCAGUCAGUUGAAUUAAAAGGUAUUAAUGUGACUUUCCAUUUUUCUACAGCGUCAUUUCGGGCUCUCUAUCCCAUGGCGAACCCAGUCAUGGAUUGGCUGAUAGAGUCAUCAACUGCAGAGAAGUUCUGGAUGCUUUUAACCUCCUGGUGCUCCAGGUCAGCUCCUUCCCAUACACUCUGCAGACCCAGCAGUCCCGGAUCAGCUCCAGCAACGAGGUUCACUGGAUACAGCUGGAUACGGUGGUGAGUUUCCUAUAUACACUCAUAUUCUCACUUUCCCAG
rnacentral:lncRNA from 1 species